CACGUAGGCGGAAGGGCAAGUCAGAUGUGAAAACCCGGGGCUUAACCGCGGGCCUGCAUUUGAAACUGCUUUUCUUGAGUACCGGAGAGGAUGGCAGAAUUCCUGGUGUAGCGGUGAAAUGCGUAGAUAUCAGGAAGAAUACCGGUGGCGAAGGCGACCAUCUGGACGGAUACUGACGCUGAGGUGCGAAGGCCGGGGGAGCAAACA
rnacentral:rRNA from 1 species